rnacentral:misc_RNA from 1 species
GUGAACUUUCCCGUCUCUUCAAUCCCUCCGGCGAACUCAUCGGCGAUCUCUGUCUUUAUCCGGCGAAGUCAGUCAUGAAGGUUAGGGCAUCAGUGAAGAAGAUGUGCGAGUUCUGUCGCACAAUCAAGCGGCGCGGGCGGGUAUAUGUGCUAUGUACAUCUAAUCCCAAGCACAAACAAAGACAAGGCUAUUCAACCUUUGCCUCUGAAGGCCUCAUAUCAACUACGCCUGUGAUGACGAGGGUUAAGCAGGAUACUUCAGUUACCGAAGGUAUUCACUCUCUCGUUCCUGGUAAGAUCGAGGCAACUGUGACACCUUGGUGGAAAAGGGGGAUAGCUUCCAUUCUCUUCAAGGACGGACAGUAAGCAAGUAGAAGUUUUGUUGCAAAGAGUGUUACACUGUAGGCACGCACUCCGAAACAUUAUUGCUUUCUUGAACUUUGGUCAGCUUUCUUGCUGCUGUUAUUUCUCUUGCCCCUUCAUACCCUUGAACACAUUGUCAUGUGUGCUAUGGUUACAAUUGCAAUGAGCUAUAAGUAUGUUA